CUACGGGUUGCUCCAGUGAGGAAUAUUGCACAAUGGGGGGAACCCUGAUGCAGCAACGCCGCGUGGAGGAUGACGCAUCUCGGUGUGUAAACUCCUUUUAUAUGUCAAGAAAAUGACGGUAGCAUAUGAAUAAGCACCGGCUAACUCCGUGCCAGCAGCCGCGGUAAUACGGAGGGUGCAAGCGUUACUCGGAAUCACUGGGCGUAAAGGACGCGUAGGCGGGUUGGAAAGUCAGGUGUGAAAUCCUACAGCUUAACUGUAGAACUGCACUUGAAACUUCUAAUCUAGAGUAUGAGAGGGGGAGAUGAAAUUAGUGGUGUAGGGGUAAAAUCCGUAGAUAUCACUAGGAAUACCUAAAGCGAAGGCGAUCUCCUGGAACAUUACUGACGCUAAGGCGUGAAAGCGUGGGGAGCAAACAGGAUUAGAUACCCGGGUAGUC
rnacentral:rRNA from 1 species